UGCAGUCGACGAGAACGGCGGCUUCUGUCGCUAAGUAAAGUGGCAGACGGCUGAGUAACACGUAAGUAACCAACCCCGGAGCGGGGAAUAAUCAUGAGAAAUCGUGCCUAAUACCCCGUACGUCCCAACAGGCGUUGCCGUUGGGGGAAAGGCUUCGGUCGCUCUGGGACGGGCUUGCGGCCUAUCAGGUAGUUGGUGGGGUAAAGGCCCACCAAGCCGUAGACGGGUACCCGGUGUGAGAGCACGAACGGGCAGAGGGGGACUGAGACACGGCCCCCACUCCUACGGGAGGCAGCAGCAGGGAAUCUUGCGCAAUGGGCGAAAGCCUGACGCAGCGACACCGCGUGGAGGAAGAAGGCUUUCGGGUCGUAAACUCCUUUUCUCGGGGAAGAGAACGGACGGUACCCGAGGAAUAAGCAUCGGCUAACUACGUGCCAGCAGCCGCGGUAAUACGUAGGAUGCGAGCGUUGUCCGGAUUUACUGGGCGUAAAGGGCGAGUAGGCGGCCCGCUAAGUCUCAUGUGAAAUCUCCCGGCUCAACUGGGAGGGGUCAUGAGAAACUGGCAGGCUUGAGGUCAGCAGAGGAAAGCGGAAUUCCCGGAGUAGCGGUGAUAUGCGUAGAUACCGGGAGGAACACCAGAGGCGAAGGCGGCUUUCUGGGCUGCACCUGACGCUGAGGCGCGAAAGCGUGGGGAGCGAACCGGACUAGAUACCCGGGUAGUCCACGCCCUAAAUGGUGGAUACUAGACAUGGGGGGUAUCGACCCCCUCUGUGUCGUAGUUAACGCGUUAAGUAUCCCGCCUGG
rnacentral:rRNA from 1 species